rnacentral:rRNA from 1 species
GACAGAGGUCCCGAGCGUUGUUCGGAUUCAUUGGGCGUAAAGGGUGCGUAGGCGGUCGGGUAAGUCAGAUGUGAAAGCCCCGGGCUCAACCUGGGAAUUGCAUUUGAGACUGCGUAGCUAGGGUGCGGAAGAGGGAAGCGGAAUUUCCGGUGUAGCGGUGAAAUGCGUAGAUAUCGGAAGGAACACCAGUGGCGAAAGCGGCUUCCUGGUCCAGCACCGACGUUCAGGCACGAAAGCGUGGGGAGCAAACAGG